rnacentral:rRNA from 1 species
UACGUAGGGUCCGAGCGUUGUCCGGAAUUAUUGGGCGUAAAGAGCGUGUAGGCGGCCAUACAGGUCAGCUGUGAAAACUCGAGGCUCAACCUCGAGACGUCGGUUGAAACCGUAUGGCUAGAGUCCGGAAGAGGAGAGUGGAAUUCCCGGUGUAGCGGUGAAAUGCGCAGAUAUCGGGAAGAACACCCGUGGCGAAGGCGGCUCUCUGGGACGGUACUGACGCUGAGACGCGAAAGCGUGGGGAGCGAACAGG